rnacentral:rRNA from 1 species
GACGAACGCUGGCGGCGUGCCUAAUACAUGCAAGUAGAACGCUGAAGGAGGAGCUUGCUCUUCUGGAUGAGUUGCGAACGGGUGAGUAACGCGUAGGUAACCUGCCUGGUAGCGGGGGAUAACUAUUGGAAACGAUAGCUAAUACCGCAUAACAGUAGAUGUUGCAUGACAUUUACUUAAAAGGUGCAAUUGCAUCCCUACCAGAUGGACCUGCGUUGUAUUAGCUAGUUGGUAGGGUAACGGCUCACCAAGGCGACGAUACAUAGCCGACCUGAGAGGGUGAUCGGCCACACUGGGACUGAGACACGGCCCAGACUCCUACGGGAGGCAGCAGUAGGGAAUCUUCGGCAAUGGACGGAAGUCUGACCGAGCAACGCCGCGUGAGUGAAGAAGGUUUUCGGAUCGUAAAGCUCUGUUGUAAGAGAAGAACGAGUGUGAGAGUGGAAAGUUCACACUGUGACGGUAUCUUACCAGAAAGGGACGGCUAACUACGUG